rnacentral:lncRNA from 13 species
GUUAAGUGUUCUUACCACAAUAAAAAAAGACUAAUGUAUUAAAAAGAAUUGUUAGUUUAUGUUUUUGUAUAUAUUAUGCAUAAAGAUGUAAUUCUUUGACACCAACAACUGAAAAAGGUGGGGACUGAGCUGUAAAGGAGCGGAGUUUUUGUGUGUUAUUGAAGUUAAGCUGUAUAAAUUCAAAUCAGAGUAUUAUAACUUUAGAAUGUUAAAUGUAAUCUCCAUGGUAACCACAGAGAAAGUAGCUAUAGAAUAUUUACAAAAGGAAAUGAGUAAGAAAUGUAAAUGCUUCACUGUAAAAAAAAAACAGCAACUAAAUACAUAUGAAGAAAGUAAUGCAGGAAAUAAAGGACAAAAAGAAGCUAUAAGAUCCACAGGGGCAGAAAGUGACCAGGAGAGCUCUAGAAAAGCCAGAGAGUUUGGAACAUACGCAGUGGAUCGUCUUAGCAAUGAUGAAGGCCCAACUGAGCCCUUCCCAAGUUCCAGAACAAGGUGUUGAGCCUCCACUACAGGACUCCUCAUCCUUCUAGCCCUGAG